AGUGAACGCUGGCGGCAGGCCUAAUACAUGCAAGUCGAACGGCAGCACAGCAGAGCUUGCUCUGUGGGUGGCGAGUGGCGGACGGGUGAGGAAUACAUGGGAAUCUGCCCAGUCGUGGGGGAUAACGUAUGGAAACGUACGCUAAUACCGCAUGCGCCCUUCGGGGGAAAGCCGGGGAUCUUCGGACCUGGCGCGAUUGGAUGAGCCCAUGUCGGAUUAGCUAGUUGGGGGGGUAAAGGCCCACCAAGGCGACGAUCCGUAGCUGGUCUGAGAGGAUGAUCAGCCACACUGGAACUGAGACACGGUCCAGACUCCUACGGGAGGCAGCAGUAGGGAAUAUUGGACAAUGGGCGCAAGCCUGAUCCAGCCAUGCCGCGUGUGUGAAGAAGGCCUU
rnacentral:rRNA from 1 species